CCCUUAGAUGUUCUGGGCUGCACGCGCGCUACACUGAUGCGUUCAACGAGUGUACACCUUACUCGAUAGGGUUGGGUAAUCUUUUGAAAACGCAUCGUGAUGGGGAUAGAUUAUUGUAAUUAUUAAUCUUCAACGAGGAAUUCCUAGUAAGGGCCAAUCAUCAGUUGGUCCUGAUUACGUCCCUGCCCUUUGUACACACCGCCCGUCGCUCCUACCGAUUGAAUGAUCCGGUGAGGCCCCCGGAAUGGGAUCACUGCCUGGUUCUCCAGAAUGAGAUCCCGUGAAGCUGUCCAAACCUUAUCAUUUAGAGGAAGGAGAAGUCGUAACA
rnacentral:rRNA from 1 species